rnacentral:rRNA from 1 species
GAUGAACGCUGGCGGCGUGCCUAAUACAUGCCAGUCGAGCGAACAGAUAAGGAGCUUGCUCCUUUGACGUUAGCGGCGGACGGGUGAGUAACACGUGGGUAACCUACCUAUAAGACUGGAAUAACUCCGGGAAACCGGGGCUAAUGCCGGAUAACAUUUAGAACCGCAUGGUUCUAAAGUGAAAGAUGGUUUUGCUAUCACUUAUAGAUGGACCCGCGCCGUAUUAGCUAGUUGGUAAGGUAACGGCUUACCAAGGCAACGAUACGUAGCCGACCUGAGAGGGUGAUCGGCCACACUGGAACUGAGACACGGUCCAGACUCCUACGGGGGGCAGCAGUAGGGAAUCUUCCGCAAUGGGCGAAAGCCUGACGGAGCAACGCCGCGUGAGUGAUGAAGGUCUUCGGAUCGUAAAACUCUGUUAUUAGGGAAGAACAAAUGUGUAAGUAACUGUGCACGUCUUGACGGUACCUAAUCAGAAAGCCACGGCUAACUACGUG